AUAUUCCCAUCAGUUAUCAACAUAAUAACUUAACUUUUGAUAAUAUUGUUUUUGAGUUUGAAAAUAUGCAACAGUCCGGUUCCUGAGUCUUAAAAUUCCUUUAUCAAACACUACUAAUUGUAUGAAUUUGUCUUGAUAAUUAUGUCUGACUGAUAAAUUCUGUUUUAUGAUUUUCAGGAAAUCUACAAUAUUCAUGAUGAGAACUGUCAGACUUCAGCAUUGAUUUGGAACGUCAUCAGUGAGGACAAGUAUCGAACGAUUCAUAACGUCUCAAUCAUAUAAAAAUGGAUGAUCAACUGAUACAAAACCUCUUGAAAUCGCUGUGGAUCCGCCUUUUCUGAGCCGCUGUCAGGAUGAUAUUUCUUGACUAGUUGAACAAAAGCCUGUCGAACGGUUUCCUGGUCACUUCCAUAAGGCACCCCCAACAGAAUUCUCAUUUCUUGGAUGUGUGAUAAGUGAUAACUUCAAAAACAUGUGGAUUGGAUGAUCUAAAUGUUGAAUGGAUUACUCAAAACAUCAAGUAAAAAGGUAAU